AUACUCUGGUUUCUCUUCAGAUCGUAUAAAUCUUUCGCCUUUUACUAAAGAUUUCCGUGGAGAGGAACAUUUAUGAGUUUUUCUCAAAUUUUUUGAGGCUCCACUCUUGUGGAGCU
ensembl:snRNA U5 U5 spliceosomal RNA